rnacentral:rRNA from 1 species
GACGAACGCUGGCGGCGUGCUUAACACAUGCAAGUCGAACGGAAAGGCCCCUUUGUGGGUACUCGAGCGGCGACCGGGGGAGUAACACGUGCGUAACCUUCCCUUGACUUUGGGAUAACUUCAGCAAACUGGGGCCAAUACUGGUUAGGAAUCCUUGCUGCAAGGGGGGGGUUGGAAAGUUUCGGCGGGUUUGGAUGGACUGGCGGCUUAUCAGCUUGUUGGUUGGGUAAUGGCUUACCAAGGCGUUGACGGGUAGCCGGCCUGAGAGGGCGACCGGCCACAUUGGCACUGAGAUACGGCCCAGACUCCUACGGGAGGCAGCAGUGGGGAAUAUUGAACAAUGGGCGGAAGCCUGAUGCAGCAGCGCCGCGUGCGGGAUGACGGCCUUAGGGUUGUAGACCGAUUUCAGCAGGGGCGAAGCUUGUGGUGACGGUACCUGCAGAAGAAGCACCGGCUAACUACGUG